GAGGGUAUAACUCAGUGGGAAAAGUACAUGCUUAGCAUGCACGAGGUCCUGGGUUCAAUCCCCAGUACCUCCG
rnacentral:tRNA from 1 species